UUGAGGGUGGAGACAAUGUGUUGGACAUCUGGUUUGACAGUGGAACCUCCUUGGCUGCUGUUUUUGAAGGUGUUAGCUACCCUGGAAAAGCUACGUACUACUGCUGCCAAGUAUUCUUACACUAGCGAUUACUUUAAUUUCAAGGUUGUUUCUGAAGGUUGCGUCAUCUUAGCUAGGGCUAGCUAAAUCCCAAUUUGGUAAGUGCCUACCUCUACUCACACAGCCAGUAAUGCUAAGUCUCCUUACUGCACUACGCAGUUACUGAAGACUUACAAACUGCCUGGUAAUGCUCUCUCUAUUUGCCACAUUGAUCAUUGUGAAUAGCAAUUACUUAAACUCUAUCUCUACAUAGUAUGUAGCAGCUUAGUCCUCUUACAUCAACAACUAGCUUAGUCUCCCUGUGGAACACAAACUGUGACACCGUACAUAAGUAUUUAUUGUUGAUGGUGAGGAUGAUUGUACAAAACAUGAGGAACUGCUCUUUCCAUGACGAAAUUUGUAUAUAUUAGUAAUUUCUCUCUCUCAGGGCUCUAGUGGUACAUGACUUUGUGGUCAGUGAGAAAGGAGAGAAGGUUUUAGGCAACUUAGUAGACCCAGAUUCAGCCAUCCACGGUGAGAGGCAGUGGAUAUUAUUAUUAUUUUCUUUUCACCAUUAUAUAACCAGGUAGGCCAGUUGAGAACAAGUUCUCAUUUACAACUGCGACCUGGCCAAGAUAAAGCAAAGCAGUGCGAAACAAACAACAACACAGAGUUACACAUGGGAUAAACAAACGUACAGUCAAUAACACAUAUAUGUACAGUGUAUGCAAAUGUUGUAAGGUUAGGGAGGUAAGGCAAUAAAUAAGCCAAUAGUGUCAAAAUAAUUACAAUUUAGCAGAUGAGAUCCCCCAGUGUGUCUCCUGCCUAUGAGGUGGAUGUUUUGCUCUGGUGGGUGGCAAAGUCCAACGUCUUCUCUGAGGUCCAGAUCGGCUCGACCGUGCUCAACUCAGCCAGAGACAACAUCGAUAAGGUGAGUAUCUCAUGGUGUCUUCUGUGUGUGUCUGUCAAUUCAUCUGAAAAUAUGUCUGUCAGUGUGGAAGUUUGUCUCCCUGCAAUAGGCGGCGGCCCAUGGCGGCAGAUUGACGAGGGCGGAAUUAACUGAGCUAAACUGACCAAGACGCACCUCCAACAACAACACAAAACCUCACAUAAUGUUGCCCCAAAACAAUGACAAUUUCUCUCAACCAGUGGCAUGAGGGUUUUUAGGUGAGAGAUGAUGCCGCCCUGUGAUAAGCAGUGCUCACUUUGUCCCAGGGUGCUGUUGGAGAGACGCAUCGCUCCGGCGCUCCACCAACGUUCCGUCAAAUAAAUCAUCUCACAUGAAUCAUGUAGCAGAAAGAGUGUGUUUCCUUUUCUGUAGCCUACAGGCUGGAGAUAAAAUGGAUGAUAAUGUAAUGAGAGACACUUUUUAAAUCAUGCAGGUUUCUCCAAUCAAAUAGCCUAACCUAAAUCAAUCAAAUAAAGAAUGCGCUGUCAUGUUAACAAACAUCCUAAAAACAGGACAGGUCAAAGUUAAAUGGACAAUAUGGAAUGGACCAUCAUCACAACUGUUGUCCAGGAGUUUCACCCCAUUGUCAUAAUCAGUGGUUUCAAGUUUGUAUCCGUCAAUUUUUGACAAGCCGAUCAUAGUGAAAAAUACUUCUGCAUUUCCUGCUGUGUAAACAGACUAGACUCACUAUAACUCCUGAUAAAGUUGGGUAGCUGAUAUUCAGAGCUUAAAUAGCCAAAUUGAUUAGUCACAGGAAUCAGGACUAAAUCCAAUGCAACGGCCUGUUUAACAAAUGGUGGACCUACCACAUGGAUGGGCAUUCGUAAAAUUCCAUUGGGUGCCGACAUGGUAGGCUACACCCCAGUAAGCACGAGCCAACGUCUUUUUUGUUUGUUUUACAAAUGGCAGGCUUACCACAGAUGGGCAUUCAUAAAAUUAUAUUUCAGGCAACACUAUAGGCUACACCUCAGUGGGCACGGGCAGAUGCCUUUUGGACAUCUUUUUUUGGUGCUGUCUGGACCAGCGUUGAUUUCCACAUCCAAAUCUGAACCAAUGGUCUAUUUGGUUUCAGAUUUUGUCAGGUCUGGACCAGCCUUGAUUUUGCCCAAACAUAGACAUCUAUAAAUUAUGUCUUUUCAUCUUUCAUUCAAACCAUAAAUUAGACUGAUUUCAACAUCUGGAAAAUGUAUUUUUAAACAGUUUUUCAAUGUCAUUUUGCUUACUGGGACUAUUCUAGUUUGGCGGGGGAGUCAUUUUGUUUGGUCUUACCUAGGGUGGCAGAACGGCAAGGACCGGCCCCGACUCGUUUACACUGUUAAUAGAACACUACUACUAAUACACUGUCAUUAAUGAAUAGUCUGAUACAACUACUCUUCCCCCUCCCAGGCUGUACUGUGAACCUGAGGACUCGUUGGGUCGGAGUUCCUGUCAGAUGGUUUUAGAGGCGAUUCUGGGCGCAGUGACACGUUCCAUCGCUCCCAUCGUGUCUCACCUGGUUGAGGUCAACCUACACACCCCAGGACAUGACGUCUCUCCAGGACGAGCCUACUUCCUAUUACGCCCAGCUAACGGAGCUGAUGGUGUUAUCAUGGACCACCCUGAACAGCGCCCUGCCCAGAGACAUGCCCUUAUCAGCAAGGUCAACUUUCUCAUCAACCUACCUGUAGGAUGGGGUUAUCUGUGAGGACAGUGCUUACCAAGUAGCGGCAGUGCCCACCUCUAUGGUCCGGUGCCCGAGGUUCCACCGUUACACCUCAGUCUCCCUGGACUGCCCCUGACAGACCAUCCUCAACAGGCCGCAGUGACACCCUCACCCGUCAACCUGCAAAUGACCCUCUGAUCCGGUCAAUCUGCUUGAAUUUAGCCAGGACAACCAGGGGUCAACAUUGAAACACACCCUGCUUAGCAACAGUACUGAGAGGGGUAACAGAGCGACAGCCACUGUCUAGCAGUGCCAAAACUACAUUACCCACAAUACUAUAAGUGACAUUGACUCUGGCAUGUUGUUGCUGCAUGCAGAGUGAGGAUGGCUGGUUCAGCACUCAUUUUGUGUUAUUUAUUUAAGAAAGGAGAGAAUUAUCAUCUGGUGUAAGGGCUAUGCAGUCCUUUUGGGUUGAUAAGACACCUCUCCCAAAAAAGGGCACAUGUCAGUGAUGUUCCCUGGAAAGGGAAACGUAUUUACUUCUGAAUCACUCCUAUGAGGCACACAGUACAGUAAGAUACCUACUGAGAGAAUCAAGUCAAAGGGCAGACAUGAAGUCAGAUUCAAGUUUGUGUGUGCGUUGAGAGGAUAUAUAGGGGAUGGUACAAUUCUGAGUGCUUUGGUUUUUAUUCAAGUUUAAUGUUGAAAUGGAAGUCAUAAUGUAACUCAUCUUAUAAUGUGACAAGUAAAGAAGAGAUGUUUGAGUUCAUUAAAACUUCUUAUGGCUGGAGGGCAGUAUUGAGUAGCUUGGAUGAAUAAGUUGCCCAAAGUAAACGGCCUGGUCCUCAGUCUCAGUUGCUAAUAUAUGCAUAUUAUUAUUAGUAUUGGAUAGAAAACACAAACGUUUCUAAAACUGUUUGAAUGAUGUCUGUGAGUAUUACAGAACUCAUAUGGCAGGCAAAAUCCUGAGGAGAAAUCAAAACAGGAAGUGAGAAAUCUGAGCUUGGUAUGUAUUCACCACAGUUCCCAAUGAAAUCCCCUUGAGAUAUUAAUGAUGUUGCACUUUCUAGGGGUUCCACUAGAUGUCAACCAUCUAUAGAAAUUUGAAUGAGACUUCUGUGUUGUGGGACUGAAUGAGAGCAGAAUCUAUCAGGUGACUGGCAGUCAGCCAUUUUCUGAUCACGCUCAUUCCUCAUGGUAUCCACUUGCGUUCCAUUGCUCAUCAAGAUACAAAGGAAUACUCCGGUUGGAACUUUAAAGCUAUAUGUUAAAAACAUCCUAAUUAUUGAUUCUGUACUAAGUUUGAAAUGUUUCUUCGACCUGUAAUAACUUUUUGAAGUUUUUGUCUGGUCGUAACUCUGACCAGAAUGAGCGUUUGGAUAUGUAUAUUAAACGGAGGUAUUGGGACGUAAAUAACGGGCAUUAUCGAACAAAACAAAUAUUUAUUGUGGACCUGGGAUUCCUGGAGUGCUUUCUGAUGAAGAUCAUCAAAGGUAAGGGAAUAUUUAUCAUGUCAUUUCUUGUUUAUGUUGACGCCAACAUGGCGGCUAUUGUGACUAUUUGUAAUGAGUGCAGUCUCAGAUUAUUGCAUGGUUUGCUUAUUCCGUAAAGUUUUUUUGAAAUCGGACACAGCGGUUGCAUUAAGGAGAGGUAUAUCUAUAAUUCCAUGUGUAUAACUUGUAUUAUCAACUACAUUUAUGAUGAGUAUUUCUGUUGAAUGAUGUGGCUAUGCAAAAUCACUGGAUGUUUUUGGAACUAGUGAAUGUAACGCGCCAAUGUAAACUCAUAUUUUGAUAAAUAUGAACUUUAUCAAACAAACCAUAAAUGUAUUGUGUAACAUGAAGUCCUAUGAUUGUCAUCUGAUGAAUAUCAUCAAAGGUUAGUGAUUAAUUUUAUCUCUUUGUGACUUUUUGUAAUCGUUUGUGGUGCUUUCGCCGUAAA